CCUGCACAUUAUUAGGGCUCGGAGUCGAGGCCACCGGUGGCUGAUGAACUCACAAGUGUAGACAGUGGGCUACAUGAGGGUCAAGUUUUUCACUAAUACCACAAGGGUCACUGACCCAAUGACUGAGUUCAAUAGUAAUCCUUGCUACAAUU